rnacentral:lncRNA from 1 species
AGAAAUUUCGAAAAAAGGUUCCGGCCGGAACACAAAAAAGUCUAAGGCAGAAAACCGCUGGGACUCUGAAAGAUGGGUUCGGGGCGAUCUAAGUCUCCACCACCAGACUGCAGCAUUACAAAAGUAAAAGUAAUUAAAAGUAAAAAGUUAAUAUGGUUAUUAGUGCGUUUCAUGUUUCCAUGAGUGGGAAACUGGUUAUGGGUUCAAAAGGAGAAUCGCUUUGUGUAAGGACAUACGCACCUUAAAAGAAAAAUUAGAGACAAAAGAAAAUACUUGAAAAAGCAAAACUAUCAAAACUAAAGCCCUAAAAGAAACAAGAGAGAUGAGAGUAACAGGAAAAAAGGAGAUAACAACUCUGGGGAAGAAUUGUUUGCAUACACCACACACACAUCAUGUUAAGAGCAAAUGCUCCCAUUGUUUCUGCUCUUUGUCCUAAUGCAGAACCGAGCGCGAUGAGGGUAAAUCCGGAUCUGGACUCCUUUCCCACCAUCAGCAGAAGAACCGAAGGAGAAGAAGCGCCUGUCCAACAACCAGAACAGGGUGGAAGCUCUGACACCACAGCAGCUGGAGGACACAGACCACAGCAUGGACGCCUCAGCGACUCUCACAACGUCUGCAGCCCUGCACCAGCAUGAAAGGACUGUGUCUGAAGCUUCUGAAGCCGUGAAAGUGUCAUACACGCGUGUGUGUCUGACAGACACCUGCUUAUGACAAUCAGCAAAGGAAAACAAGGACAGAGCAACAGCAGAGAAGACGUGCUCUGACACAGACACUGGUUGAAACAACAGGAGAGGCUUCAGACGUGAUCGGCCCAAUAGAGCUGCAUGCGAGGAUCCAGGAAAGGUCUGUCAUCGAGGAACAACUGUCCCAUCGAAAGGCUUCACCCACUGGCGCUCACAUCAGACUGAUGGUUGGAGAAGGAGGAAGGUGACGGUUCCUUUUCACGUGACGUACAAGACGGUACCGCAAACACACACACACACACAUUCAUACACGCAAUGAAGAAACACGCUUACAGCUGAUACACGCUCAAAUUCAUGUUCAUGCUUAUCUGCUCGCAAUGAAGAAUCGCUUUUUGCUCAAAAAAAAAUCCCAGAGUGAUUUUCAAAUUAUGACAAACAGCUAAAUGACAACUGCUGCAUGACUUUACAGUCUGAUGGGUUUAAACUAUUUUAACUUGCAACAAAUUCAGUAAUAAAAUCCUUCAUGUUUCUAAAAAUACUUGUGCA